rnacentral:rRNA from 1 species
GAUGAACGCUAGCGGCAGGCUUAACACAUGCAAGUCGAGGGGUAGAAAUAGCUUGCUAUUUUGAGACCGGCGCACGGGUGCGUAACGCGUAUGCAAUCUGCCUUGUACUGGGGAAUAGCCCGGAGAAAUCCGGAUUAAUGCCCCAUGGUAUUUUUGUGUGGCAUCACGAUUAUUAAAGAUUUAUCGGUACAAGAUGAGCAUGCGUCCCAUUAGUUAGUUGGUGUGGUAACGGCACACCAAGACGAUGAGGGGUAGGGGUCCUGAGAGGGAGAUCCCCCACACUGGUACUGAGACACGGACCAGACUCCUACGGGAGGCAGCAUUGAGGAAGAUUGGUCAAUGGGCGCAAGCCUGAACCAGCCAUGCCGCGUGCAGGAGGACGGCCCUAUGGGUUGUAAACUGCUUUUAUACGGGAAGAAACACCUCUUCGUGAAGAGGCUUGACGGUACCGUAAGAAUAAGGAUCGGCUAACUCCGUGCCAGCCGCCGCGGUAAUAC